rnacentral:rRNA from 1 species
AUUGAACGCUGGCGGCAUGCUUUACACAUGCAAGUCGAACGGUAACAGGCCGCAAGGUGCUGACGAGUGGCGAACGGGUGAGUAAUGCAUCGGAACGUGCCCAGUAGUGGGGGAUAACGCAGCGAAAGCUGCGCUAAUACCGCAUACGAUCUAUGGAUGAAAGCGGGGGACCGUAAGGCCUCGCGCGAUUGGAGCGGCCGAUGUCAGGUUAGGUAGUUGGUGGGGUAAAGGCUCACCAAGCCAACGAUCUGUGGCUGGUCUGGGAGGACGACCGGCCAGACGGUGACUGAGACACGGCGGAGACUCCUACGGGAGGCAGCAGGGGGGAAUUUUGGACAAUGGGCGCAAGCCUGAUUCAGCAAUGCCGCGUUCAGGAAGAAGGCCUUAGGGUUGUAAACUGCUUUUGUACGGAACGAAACGGUCCUGGUUAAUACCCGGGGCUAAGGACGGUACGGUAAGAAUAAGCACCGGCUAACUACGUGCCAGCAGCCGCCGUAAUAC